rnacentral:lncRNA from 1 species
GCGUCUCGCAGGGUCGGAGUCGACUCCCGACUCUGCGGAGUCGACUCUCUCAGAGACGGCAGAAAGGCCGAUUUCAAAGGAUGCGCGCGAGUCGUCUCCGAAGGACGCGGAGUCGUCCCCACGCAUAAAAGACAAACAUCCCGAGACGUCCCCAGAAAGCGCGGAGUCGACUCUCUCAGGGAUUCCAGAGGACUUGUUUUUCGUUGAUAAAACUACGGAGUCGUCCCCGACGUCGCGGAGUCGUCCCCAUGCA